rnacentral:rRNA from 1 species
AGAGCGAACGCUGGCGGCAGGCUUAACACAUGCAAGUCGAGCGGGCGUAGCAAUGCGUCAGCGGCAGACGGGUGAGUAACGCGUGGGAACGUACCUUUGGUUCGGAACAACCCAGGGAAACUUGGGCUAAUACCGGAUAAGCCCUUACGGGGAAAGAUUUAUCGCCGAAAGAUCGGCCCGCGUCUGAUUAGCUAGUUGGUGAGGUAAUGGCUCACCAAGGCGACGAUCAGUAGCUGGUCUGAGAGGAUGAUCAGCCACAUUGGGACUGAGACACGGCCCAAACUCCUACGGGAGGCAGCAGUGGGGAAUAUUGGACAAUGGGCGCAAGCCUGAUCCAGCCAUGCCGCGUGAGUGAUGAAGGCCCUAGGGUUGUAAAGCUCUUUUGUGCGGGAAGAUAAUGACGGUACCGCAAAGAAUAAGCCCCGGCUAACUUCGUGCCAGCAGCCGC